CUUUCUUGUUUCUUUUUAUCCAUUUCCCACUUUCUAUUUGAAUGGAUCAUUUCUUAAUUCCCACUGAAGAAAUAAAACCUCAUAACAAAGUAUCUAGGAGGAAGCAAUAAUCAAUGUGAACAUAACAUAUAUAAAUGUCUUUUCCCACCUGUCGUGGUGUGCUGGUACCAGCUUGAUCAACUCUCCAGAAGUGAUUUUUUAAAUUUUUAGGAAUUUUGUGAGCCC